ACAGGUAGACAGGCUCAGAGACCAGCACCUCCAUCUUACUGACAGAACAGGUAGACAGGCUCAGAGACCAGCACCUCCAUCUUACUGACAGAACAGGUAGACAGGCUCAGAGACCAGCACCUCCAUCUUACUGACAGAACAGGUAGACAGGCUCAGAGACCAGCACCUCCAUCUUACUGACAGAACAGGUAGACAGGCUCAGAGACCAGCACCUCCAUCUUACUGACAGAACAGGUAGACAGGCUCAGAGACCAGCAACACCUCCAUCUUACUGACAGAACAGGUAGACAGGCUCAGAGACCAGCACCUCCAUCUUACUGACAGAACAGGUAGACAGGCUCAGAGACCAGCAACACCUCCAUCUUACUGACAGAACAGGUAGACAGGCUCAGAGACCAGCACCUCCAUCUUACUGACAGAACAGGUAGACAGGCUCAGAGACCAACACCUCCAUCUUACUGACAGAACAGGUAGACAGGCUCAGAGACCAGCAACACCUCCAUCUUACUGACAGAACAGGUAGACAGGCUCAGAGACCAAC